GGUGAACUAAGAAGUGGAAAGUGGCGAACGGGUGAGUAACGCGUGGGUAACCUGCCUCAUGGAAAGGAAUAGCCUCGGGAAACUGGGAGUAAAGCCUUAUAUUAUUGAGUUGUCGCAUGGCAAUUCGAUGAAAACUCCGGUGCCAUGAGAUGGACCCGCGUCCCAUUAGCUAGUUGGUGAGAUAACAGCCCACCAAGGCAACGAUGGGUAACCGGUCUGAGAGGGCGAACGGUCACACUGGAACUGAGACACGGUCCAGACUCCUACGGGAGGCAGCAGUGGGGAAUAUUGCGCAAUGGGGGAAACCCUGACGCAGCAAUACCGCGUGAGUGAAGAAGGUUUUCGGAUCGUAAAACUCUUUUAUUGGGGAAGAAGAAGUGACGGUACCCAAUGAAGAAGUCCCGGCUAACUACGUGCCAGCAGCCGCGGUAAUACGUAGGGGACAAGCGUUGUCCGGAAUCACUGGGCGUAAAGGGCGCGUAGGCGGUUUUAUAAGUCAGAUGUGAAAGGUACCGGCUCAACCGGUGACGUGCAUUUGAAACUGUAAGACUUGAGUACUGGAGAGGCAAGUGGAAUUCCUAGUGUAGCGGUGAAAUGCGUAGAUAUUAGGAGGAACACCGGUGGCGAAGGCGGCUUGCUGGACAGAUACUGACGCUGAGGUGCGAAAGCGUGGGGAGCGAACAGGAUUAGAUACCCUGGUAGUCCACGCCGUAAACGAUGAUGACUAGGUGUUGGGGAAACUCAGUGCCGC
rnacentral:rRNA from 1 species